UGCAUCUGCAUAAAUGUUCAUGGUAACUCAUCGGUUACAUAAAGACAAAGUGCAUUCCAUUUGUAUCUCCAUAUUUAAGCCUUGUCUUUACUAAUUAUAUGAUUUCAUUGCAGGCCUGAAUAUAUACUUUUGGUUAUCAUUCAUCCCUGCCAUUCUUGUCAUCUUGGUUGGAACCAAACUAGAGCACGUUGUCUGGAAACUUGCUCUCGAGGUUAAGGAGCAGCAGACAUGCACAACUAAUGGGGUUCAAGUCAAACCACGUGACAUACUCUUCUGGUUUGGGAAACUAUCUUUUUGAAUGUAUUUAUAACUCUCUGUUUGAGAGUUUAAAACUCUAUCUUGUUUGAGUGUAUGAUAUUAAACUAAGUUUAACAUUAAUUGUAAUUGUGUAUGUUUUGCAAUUUAAUUUUUUACAUA